rnacentral:misc_RNA from 1 species
UUGUGGAGGAGGACGCCGAAGGUGGGGCUAAUGACUGGGGUGAAGUCGUAACAAGGUAGCCGUACCGGAAGGUGCGGCUGGAUCACCUCCUAACAGGGAGACAACAAAAUGUAAAUAUUAAUUUUGUCACCUUAGGUCGAUCGGUAUCUCAGAUUCUUAAUUUUUAAGAAUUUCAGUUUCUAAGUUUUUCUAGGUCACACCCAUUACUUUUCCUGGGCCAUUAGCUCAGGUGGUCAGAGCGCACCCCUGAUAAGGGUGAGGUCCCUGGUUCAAGUCCAGGAUGGCCCAUAUCUCUAUGUUGGGGGUAUAGCUCAGUUGGUAGAGCGCCUGCUUUGCAAGCAGGAUGUCAGCGGUUCGAGUCCGCUUACCUCCACUGAUCACCACCUCUUCCAUAAUUUAUAGAAGGGAAUGUUUUGGAGUUGUGAUCAAAUCUGAACGAAUCUAGCUUCCUAAUGAAAUCAUUAAGAUGCUGGACUCAUUGAAUUAAUUUCAUUGUUUUCAGAGAACCUUGACAACUGCAUAGAUUAUUUUUAAAGACAAUAAGCAUCUUUAAUGAUGCAGAUUUAUUAUUUGUGCGAAUGCAUUAAUAACAAUUCUAUUAAGCUGAUGCUUCAAUUUUGAAGUUAUUGGUCAAGCUACAA